GAGCCCCAGUAGGGGGCUACGGGGAUAUCCUGAGGAAACUCCAGCCUCCAGAUCAAGGGAAGUCCCGUGAGGGACAAGGGUAGUACCCUUGGCAACUGCACAGAAAACUUACCCCUAAAUAUUCAAUGAGUAUGAUUCGACUCUUACCUUGGCGACAAGGUAAGAUAGAUGAAGAGAAUAUUUAGGGGUUGAAACGCAGUCCUUCCCGGAGCAAGUAGGGGGGUCAAUGAGAAUGAUCCGAAGACCUCCCUUGACGCAUAGUCUAAUCCCCCAAAUACAGAAGCUGGGUUAUUGCUGGGGCUC
rfam:Acidianus hospitalis W1, complete genome.